rnacentral:rRNA from 1 species
UGGCUCAGAACGAACGCUGGCGGCGCGUUUAAGCAUGCAAGUCGAGCGGCAAGGGCCUUCGGGCCCCUAGAGCGGCGGACGGGUGAGUAACACGUGGACAAUCUGCCCCCCGGCCCGGGAUAGCCCAGGGAAACCUGGAUUAAUACCGGAUGAGACGGGACCCGCGAUGGCGGGACCCGGGAAAGGCGCUGCGGCGCCGCCGGGGGAUGAGUCUGCGUCCCAUUAGCUAGACGGCGGGGUAACGGCCCACCGUGGCGACGAUGGGUAGCCGGCCUGAGAGGGUGGACGGCCACAUUGGAACUGAGACACGGUCCAGGCUCCUACGGGAGGCAGCAGCUAAGAAUCUUCCGCAAUGGGCGAAAGCCUGACGGGAAGCGACGCCGCGUGAACGAAGAAGGCCGUGAGGUUGUAAAGUUCUUUUCGGGAGGGGGAACAACCGUGGCAGGGAAUGGCCGCGGGAUGACGUGAAUCCCGGAAUAAGCCCCGGCUAACUACGUGCCAGCCGCCGC